CAGCGGAAGGACGUAAGUUUUCACGCAUAGUGGACAGAGGACUUAGACCGAAUGAGAUGUUGGUUGGCCUCAUCUCCCCAAGCUGUCUAGAAGCUGCUUAAGGGCAGGCCCCACAACUGGUUGGUUCAUCUCUAUGUCCGCAGUGCAAAACGUCGCAUCUCUUAAGGCAAUUAGUGUCUGUCCGAAUUCUUGGGGAAGCUGAGGAAACCAGGGCUGUGACUGUAAUAUUCUGCUGUACCUAUGAUCUGUGCCCAUGAUGCUCUGCUGUAUCCAUGAUGCUGUGCCCAUGAUGCCAUGUCAUGCUCUCUGUACCUUGCCAUGCCUGUGACACUAUGCCCUCUCCCUGGGAUUCUGCAGUCUUCCUGGCUGCUCUAGAAGCCAGGGAGAUUCCACCCCAUGUAAAAUGCUCCUGGGGUGGCCUGCUGACCUGGAUUCUCCUCUCAACAUCUUGAGCCCAACCACCUCUGCUGUCAAACUACACAUGGCCCAGGUGACUUCUCUCACAAAUGGGAGAGGGAAUCAGAGCAUUUCAUAGUCAGAGCAGAGGCCCUGGGGAGAUGCCCAUCUGCAGCAGACUUGGGACAACUGAUCCAAUUCAAGUCCAUCAUUGUGCAGAGUGGGAUUGUGAGCCUCAGAGUGGAGAGAAGAUUCAUCCAACUGUGGGUUCGGUGCCAGCCAGAGUGGGACUCCACCCUGACUCCCAGUUCAGAGCUCAUUUUGGUGGGGGGUCCUGAAGUUCUACCAUCAUAGUUACCCCUUGCUUGGGUCUCCAAAAUGUCCCUGUUCCAAUGUAUAUCUGUUACUUAAAUAACACAUUUGCAACAUAGCUAUCAGAGGGGUUGGUUUUUAUU
rnacentral:lncRNA from 1 species